rnacentral:rRNA from 1 species
CAGCCGCCACGGUAAUACAGAGGGUGCGAGCGUUAAUCGGAUUUACUGGGCGUAAAGCGUGCGUAGGCGGCUUCUUAAGUCGGAUGUGAAAUCCCUGAGCUUAACUUAGGAAUUGCAUUCGAUACUGGGAAGCUAGAGUAUGGGAGAGGAUGGUAGAAUUCCAGGUGUAGCGGUGAAAUGCGUAGAGAUCUGGAGGAAUACCGAUGGCGAAGGCAGCCAUCUGGCCUAAUACUGACGCUGAGGUACGAAAGCAUGGGGAGCAAACAGGAUUAGAUACCCCGGUAGUCCCUGUCUCUAUACA